rnacentral:tRNA from 1 species
CAAAAAAUAGUUUAAUUAAAAUACUAGUUUUGGGGACUAGGGAUAAGUUUUGCCAUCUUUUUUUUGA